UGGGGAAUUUUGGACAAUGGGCGAAAGCCUGAUCCAGCAAUGCCGCGUGUGUGAAGAAGGCCUUCGGGUUGUAAAGCACUUUUGUCCGGAAAGAAAUCCUCUGGGUUAAUACCUCGGGGGGAUGACGGUACCGGAAGAAUAAGCACCGGCUAACUACGUGCCAGCAGCCGCGGUAAUACGUAGGGUGCAAGCGUUAAUCGGAAUUACUGGGCGUAAAGCGUGCGCAGGCGGUUUUGUAAGACGGAUGUGAAAUCCCCGGGCUUAACCUGGGAACUGCACUCGUGACUGCAAGGCUAGAGUAUGGCAGAGGGGGGUAGAAUUCCACGUGUAGCAGUGAAAUGCGUAGAGAUGUGGAGGAAUACCGAUGGCGAAGGCAGCCCCCUGGGCCAAUACUGACGCUCAUGCACGAAAGCGUGGGGAGCAAACAGGAUUAGAUACCCUGGUAGUCCACGCCCUAAACGAUGUCAACUAGUUGUUGGGGAUUCAUUUCCUUAGUAACGUAGCUAACGCGUGAAGUUGACCGCCUGGGGAGUACGGUCGCAA
rnacentral:rRNA from 1 species